rnacentral:rRNA from 1 species
AGCUCCAAUAGCGUAUAUUAAUUUUGUUGCAGUUAAAAAGCUCGUAGUUGAAUUUGUGGCAGUCUUGAGCGUCCCGACACAUUGUGUUGUGGUUUGCUUUAGUCGCCAUCCUUGGGUGGAUGCUGUGUGGCAUUAGGUUGUCGUGCAGUGGAUGCCCAUCGUUUACUGUGAAAAAAUUAGAGUGUUCAAAGCAGGCUUAUGCCGUUGAAUAUAUUAGCAUGGAAUAAUAAGAUAGGACCUUGGUACUAUUUUGUUGGUUUGCGCACCGAGGUAAUGAUUAAUAGGGACAGUUGGGGGUAUUCGUAUUCCAUUGUCAGAGGUGAAAUUCUUGGAUUUUUGGAAGACGAACUACUGCGAAAGCAUUUACCAAGGAUGUUUUCAUUAAUCAAGAACGAAAGUA